AACGAACGCUGGCGGCAUGCCUAACACAUGCCAGUCGAACGAAACCUUCGGGUCUAGUGGCGCACGGGUUCGUAACGCGUGGGAACCUGCCCUUAGGUUCGGAAUAACUCCCCGAAAGGGGUGCUAAUACCGGAUAAUGUCUUCGGACCAAAGAUUUAUCGCCUUUGGAUGGGCCCGCGUUGGAUUAGCUAGUUGGUAGGGUAAAAGCCUACCAAGGCGACGAUCCAUAGCUGGUCUGAGAGGAUGAUCAGCCACACUGGGACUGAGACACGGCCCAGACUCCUACGGGAGGCAGCAGUGGGGAAUAUUGGACAAUGGGCGAAAGCAUGAUGCAGCAAUGACGCGUGAGUGAUGAAGGCCUUAGGGUUGUAAAGCUCUUUUACCCGGGAUGAUAAUGACAGUACCGAGAGAAUAAGCUCCGGCUAACUCCGUG
rnacentral:rRNA from 1 species